AAAAAAAAAAGGGUUAAAAAAAAAAGGGGUGCUAAAGUGUAUGUUUGAGAGCUGGAAUGUUAUAAGUUCAAUAUUUCUAUUUGGUGGCUGUUUUGGGGGAGGUAUAACCAAACCAACCCAGAAAAUUCUAAAACUUCAUAGGGGUGCUUUGUAGAUGAAAUUAAGCCUAGAAAUCAAAUUUGGUGUAAAAAUUCUACCGUUUACUUGGUGAACCAAUUUAGCAUCUAUUAGCCAAUUUGAAGUCCAAAACUUCAAGGUGCUUUCUGGAAACUCUAGACUUGAUUUUCCUUACUAAAAUAAUGUCAUGUUGCUCUUAAAACAGUUUUAUAAAAUUUCAACUUUGUCCUUUUUCUUUUUUCGGGGAGAGGCAAAAAUAGCAAGCUAAUUUCGACUCCUAUUUCACUUCAUUGCUCUAGAGCUUGGUGUCUUCAUUUCUUGCUUCAAGUGUCAUAACAAACACUUAUUCCACACGUUUUGCUUGAGUUUGUGCUUGAACAUAUAUUAAAACUUGAUUUAAACUUGCUGGAAUUGCAUUAGUUCUGACAAGAACUUGGUAAGCAAGCUUGAGUGGAAAAAGGCAUUGAGUGGCAAGAACUCCAGGAGGGUAAAAGCCUAUAAACUGAGUACAAACACUUGAGUGACCAAAAUUGAGUGAAAUUGUGAGGUUGUUUUCUGUUUUACUAACUUUUUGUGCAGGUGUUAAAAAUGUCACAAGAACAAACUAGUGGACUUAAUAUGGAUAAUCCUUUUUACCAACAAGCACUUGUUCAACAUUUGGAAAGAAUUGGUAGACAAUUGAGCAACCUAGCUGACCGAAUUGAAAGAAUUGAGCAGAAUAGUGGGAAUGGUAGACAAAACACAAAUGAGGUGCAGAAUAGGGCUAGGGGAUCUAGAGUGAACAAUGCACCACCUAUAGAUGAUUGGGGGGAUGAAAAUGAUGAUGAUUCUGAUGAAGAGGAUGACCAGCACUCUGCUGCACAUGAUGACCACCAUAGACCGAGAGGGAUGAGAGGUAAUAGGGGUGGAAGAGGUGGAGGCAGAAACUUGAGAAGAGGUAAUAUGGAGGAAGCAAGAGGGAGAGGGAGAGUGGAUGGUAACAUUAGUGGGAUCAAAAUGAAAAUUCCGCCAUUCCAAGGCAAAGCCAAUCCGGAUGCAUAUUUGGAGUGGGAGAGGAAGGUGGAUCUCAUUUUUUAUUGUCACAAUUAUAGUGAGGAAAAGAAGGUGAAGCUUGCAGUAGUUGAGUUUACAGAUUAUGCCAUAGUUUGGUGGGAUCAAUUGCUCACUAAAAGAAGGAGGAAUGGGAUGAGGGGUGUUGAAACUUGGGAUGAGAUGAAGCAAAUCAUGAGGGACAGAUUUGUACCUCAACAUUACUAUAGGGAGUUGCACCAAAGGUUGCAAGGGCUGGUGCAAGGAAACAAAAGUGUGGAAGAAUAUUUCAAGGAGAUGGAGAUGGCUAUGAUAAGAGCCAAUGUAGAGGAGGAUAGGGAAGCCACUAUGGCUAGGUUCCUAAAGGGGCUGAAUCUUGAUAUUGCCAACAUAGUGGAGCUACAACACUAUGUAGAGCUUGAUGACAUGUUAAAUAUGGCAAUCAAGAUAGAAAAACAACUAAAGAAGAAGAAAGCAUUCAAGAUGGGUGUAGGUAUGAAUUCGAGCAACAAUGCUCCAUGGAAACCGAAUUGGAAGAAGGGUGAAACUAGUGAUUCCAAGGCUGUUUCUAAGGAAAAGAAAGAGGAGACUAGGGGUGGAGAAAAGCCUAGUGUGACUGAGAAAGGCAAUGGACAGAAUACCUCUAGUGGGAGAACUAGGGAUAUCAAAUGUUUUAAGUGCCUAGGGAAGGGACAUUAUGCAUCUCAAUGUCCUAACAAGAGGGUGAUGGUGAUGAGGCAGAAUGGGGAAAUCGAAUCAGAAGAUGAUGAUAUUGAUGAUGAUGAUGCUAGUGAGAGUAUGCCUCCUUUGGAGGAAGCUAGUGAUGUAGAGCAUGCCGUGGGAGGUAAUAUUCUGGUGGUUAGGCGUGCACUAAGUGCACAAGCAAUGGAAGAAGAGGGAGAUGCACUACAAAGGGAAAAUAUUUUCCACGCUAGAUGCUUGGUGAAUGGUAAAACUUGUAGCAUGAUUGUAGAUAGUGGUAGUUGUGUGAAUGUUGCCAGCACACUCAUGGUUGCGAAGCUUGGCAUGCGCACCAUGAAGCAUCCUAGACCAUACAAGUUGCAAUGGCUGAAUGAAUGUGGGGAAAUUAAGGUGAACAAGCAAGUGAUGUUGGCUUUUUCUAUUGGAAGGUAUAAGGAUGAGGUGUUGUGUGAUGUGGUGCUGUGUGAUGUGGUGCCAAUGCAUGCUGGACAUAUUUUGCUAGGGAGACCAUGGCAAUAUGAUAGGAAGGUAGUGCAUGAUGGAUUUAGGAAUAGGUACUCCUUUGAUCAUGAUGGACGAAGGGUUACUUUAGCAGCAUUAUCACCCGCACAAGCUUUUGAAGACCAAUUAAGGAUAAAACAGACCAUGAAUGAGCAACAACAAAGAGAGGCCGAGCUAAGAGUGCAAAAAGAGAAAGAAAGAAAAGAAAGAGAGGAAAAAGUAAGAGGGAAAAAUGAGGAAGAGAAAGAGAAGAGAGAAAAUUCAAAAAGAGUGAAACCAAAAGAAAAGGGUUCGGGGCAAAAGGAGAGUUGUGAGAAGAGUGGAGAGAAUAAAGUCAGUUUGCUAGCAAAAGCCAAGGAUGUGAGGACUGCAUAUUUUUCUAGUAUGCCAAUGGCUUUGCUAAUUUGUAAGGGAGCUUACACCAAUGUUUCUAACCUUGACCCAUCCAUUCCUAGUUGUGCUUUGCUCUUGUUGCAGGAGUUUGAGGAUGUCUUCCCUGAAGAAAUACCUAAUGGGCUACCACCCAUUAGAGGCAUAGAGCACCAAAUAGAUUUUGUGCCUGGAGCUGUAAUCCCAAAUAGGCCAGCCUAUAGAACCAAUCCGGAAGAGGCUAAGGAACUUCAAAGACAAGUGGAGGAGCUUCUAGCAAAAGGCCAUGUUAGGGAGAGCAUGAGCCCAUGUGCCGUACCUGUUCUUUUGGUGCCAAAAAAAGAUGGGAGCAUGCGCAUGUGUGUGGAUUGUAGAGCAAUCAACAAAAUCACUGUAAAGUAUAGACAUCCCAUACCUAGACUUGAUGAUAUGCUUGAUGAGUUG
rnacentral:misc_RNA from 1 species